GCUCCCUGGCAGGUGGGUUGCAGUUGCUUGCUGUGAGGGAGAGGGGGAUGGGUGAGGUCAGUGCAGUGGAAACACGGAAACAGAGGCAAUCUGGUGCUCCUGCUGGUUUGUUCCACCAUGAUAUCCUUCCUGCCACUUCACCCAUCUCCCUCUACCACCUGGUGAGCAACAGUGACUCACCUGCCGAGAAGC